rnacentral:tRNA from 1 species
GCCUGGCUGGCUUAGUCAGUACAGCACAGGACUCUGAAUCUUGGGGUUUUGAGUUCAAGCCCCAUGUUGGGCA